CGCGUAGGCGGUCUCUUAAGUCAGAUGUGAAAGCCCGGGGCUUAACCUCGGAAGUGCAUUUGAAACUAAGGGACUUGAGUAUGGGAGAGGGAAGUGGAAUUCCUGGUGUAGCGGUGAAAUGCGUAGAUAUCAGGAGGAACACCGGUGGCGAAGGCGACUUCCUGGACCAAUACUGACGCUGAGGCGCGAAGGCGUGGGGAGCAAACAGGAUUAGAUACCUGGUAGUCC
rnacentral:rRNA from 1 species